AGAGUUUGAUCCUGGCUCAGAAUCAACGCUGGCGGCGUGCCUCAGACAUGCAAGUCGAACGCGAAAGUCCCCUUCGGGGGACGAGUAGAGUGGCGCACGGGUGAGUAACACGUAGGUAAUCUACCUUUGGAUGGGGAAUAACAACCGGAAACGGUUGCUAAUACCGCAUAAUGCAGCGGCACCUAAUGGUGACAGUUGUUAAAGCGGGGGAUCGCAAGACCUCGCGUCUGAAGAGGAGCCUGCGGCGGAUUAGCUAGUUGGUAAGGUAACGGCUUACCAAGGCUUUGAUCCGUAGCCGGCCUGAGAGGGCGGUCGGCCACACUGACACUGACAUACGGGUCAGACUCCUACGGGAGGCAGCAGUCGGGAAUUUUGGGCAAUGGGCGAAAGCCUGACCCAGCAACGCCGCGUGAAGGAUGAAAUCCCUCGGGAUGUAAACUUCGCAAGAACGGGAAGAAUAAGUAGGGGACAAUACCCCCUAUGAUGACGGUACCGUUUGUAAGCUCCGGCUAACUCCGUGCCAGCAGCCGCGGUAAUACGGGGGGAGCAAGCGUUGUUCGGAUUUACUGGGCGUAAAGGGCGCGUAGGCGGCCACCGCAAGUCGACUGUGAAAUCUCCGGGCUUAACCCGGAAAGGUCAGCCGAUACUGCGGGGCUAGAGUGCAGAAGGGGCAACUGGAAUUCUCGGUGUAGCGGUGAAAUGCGUAGAUAUCGAGAGGAACACCUGCGGCGAAGGCGGGUUGCUGGGCCGACACUGACGCUGAGGCGCGAAAGCCAGGGGAGCGAACGGGAUUAGAUACCCCGGUAGUCCUGGCCUUAAACGAUGGAUGCUUGGUGUCCGGGGUUACAUAGUCCCCGGGUGCCGUCGCUAACGCCUUAAGCAUCCCGCCUGGGGAGUACGCACGCAAGUGUGAAACUCAAAGGAAUUGACGGGGACCCGCACAAGCGGUGGAGCAUGUGGUUUAAUUCGACGCAACGCGAAGAACCUUACCUGGGCUAGAAUGCCUCUGACAACCCUAGAGAUAGGGCCUUCUGGGUAAAACCAGACAGAGUGCAAGGUGCUGCAUGGCUGUCGUCAGCUCGUGUCGUGAGAUGUUGGGUUAAGUCCC
rnacentral:rRNA from 1 species